UACGUAGGGUCCGAGCGUUGUCCGGAAUUACUGGGCGUAAAGAGCUCGUAGGUGGUUUGUCGCGUUGUUCGUGAAAACUCACAGCUCAACUGUGGGCGUGCGGGCGAUACGGGCAGACUAGAGUACUGCAGGGGAGACUGGAAUUCCUGGUGUAGCGGUGGAAUGCGCAGAUAUCAGGAGGACCACCGGUGGCGAAGGCGGGUCUCUGGGCAGUAACUGACGCUGAGGAGCGAAAGCGUGGGGAGCGAACAGG
rnacentral:rRNA from 1 species